UACGUAGGGACCAAGCGUUGUUCGGAAUUACUGGGCGUAAAGCGCACGCAGGCGGUCUUUUAAGUUUGACGUGAAAGCUCCCGGCUUAACUGGGAGAGGUCGUUGAAUACUGGAAGACUUGAGGCAAUGAGAGGGGUGUAGAAUUCCCGGUGUAGUGGUGGAAUGCGUAGAUAUCGGGGGGAAUACCAGUGGCGAAAGCGGCACCCUAGCGUUAGCCUGACGCUCAUGUGCGAAAGCGUGGGGAGCGAACGGG
rnacentral:rRNA from 1 species